CGUCAAAACCAAGCCCACCAUCAGUUCAAAAAAAGUUCAAACUAACGAAACCUCGAGCGUACAUCGAGAAAAAACGCGCAUACGCUCACGUAUCGCACGUUCCAUCCAUCCAUCCAUCCAUCCCGGUUACAUUAACGAAACGAGACAGACUGAGAGAGACGUUGCGCGAUAACGCUGAGCGAGAGGGACACUCUUGGACGAGAAGAGAAGGAAGGAAAGAGAGAGAGAGAGAGAUUUAACCAAGAUUGAGUGGCCAGGCAAAAAGUUCGUUUCGCGGGGCUUAAUGCUCGGCAUUAUGUCGGCUGAUGGAUGCCGCUCGUUAAUUUUAUAAUUUCACCAACGCGUGUGUGCACCCCUGCCCGAUUUCACGGGCGGAGGGA